GUUGGAACGCCCGAAGAGGUGCUGCUGGGGUGGUUGGAAGCCGGUGGGGGGCGGGUGUAUGGCGGCUAGGCCUGGAAGACCACGAGGACCGCUAGCGCCGUGGGGUCACUCUUCCUCAUGCCACAGGUUGCCGAGCCUCGGGGGAGAGGUGGGGUCCCAGGGGCCAACCCUUGGGUGUGUUGAUGGCGGCAGGCUAACCCAGCCAACGGGGUGCCACUGCCGGGCAAGACUUCAGUGUGCUGAAAGUUCUCCCAUUGAGAGCACUUAUGCAGUUGGGUGAACUAUCUGCAUGAAAGUGACAUUUGCUCAUCUGUCUUUCUCGCUGAAGUCAUCGUCUAAAGGGUCCCUGUCUGCUUCCAAGGGUCCCUGGAACCUUCUGCAGCUGUGCCUCUCCAGAGCUCCGCCUCAUUAGUGCCACGUUCCUGGUUUGAAAACCAUAGUACUUCAACCUCUUCUAGAUGGGAGUUAACCUUUGCCCUCUGAAAGAAAGGUUUGAUAAGCAAAGAGAGUUUGGUGAGCAAGAUCCUUGAGGUAAGAGCUGAUCUCUGACGUCCGCUGGGAACUGGCUGCUCUGCAGGUUUCUGUAUCACAUUUUCUGCACAUGUCCAUUAGAAUUGGAGAUGGGGCGUAUCUAGUGUUGAAUAAAGGCCCGGCAGGCCCUCCCAGAUGCA
rnacentral:lncRNA from 1 species